rnacentral:rRNA from 1 species
UACGGGGGGGGCAAGCGUUGUUCGGAAUUACUGGGCGUAAAGGGCUCGUAGGCGGCCAACUAAGUCGGACGUGAAAUCCCCAGGCUCAACCUGGGAACUGCGUCCGAUACUGGAUGGCUUGAAUCCGGGAGAGGGAUGCAGAAUUCCAGGUGUAGCGGUGAAAUGCGUAGAUAUCUGGAGGAAUACCGGUGGCGAAGGCGGCAUCCUGGACCGGCAUUGACGCUGAGGAGCGAAAGCCAGGGGAGCAAGCGGG